UCUUGACUAGUAUAUCGGUUUAGUACACGCGCUUGUCAUCCACAAGUCGUAGAGGUGUUUCGCGCGAAAGCUGGGUUCGACUCCCAGGUCGAGAG